rnacentral:rRNA from 1 species
GAGUUUGAUCCUGGCUCAGGAUGAACGCUAGCGGCAGGCUUAACACAUGCAAGUCGAGGGGUAACAGGGAGUGCUUGCACUCUGCUGACGACCGGCGCACGGGUGCGUAACGCGUAUGCAACCUACCUUCUACAGGGGGAUAGUCCAGAGAAAUUUGGCAUAAUACCCCAUACGAUCAUUUAUUGGCAUCGAUAGAUGAGGAAAACUCCGGUGGUAGAAGAUGGGCAUGCGUCCUAUUAGUUAGUUGGUAAGGUAACGGCUUACCAAGACAUCGAUAGGUAGGGGUCCUGAGAGGGAGAUCCCCCACACUGGUACUGAGACACGGACCAGACUCCUACGGGAGGCAGCAGUGAGGAAUAUUGGACAAUGGAGGCAACUCUGAUCCAGCCAUGCCGCGUGCAGGAAGACGGCCCUACGGGUUAUAAACUGCUUUUAUACAGGAAGAAACGCCGCUACGUGUAGCGGUUUGACGGUACUGUACGAAUAAGGAUCGGCUAACUCCGUGCCAGCAGCCGCGGUAAUACGGAGGAUCCAAGCGUUAUCCGGAAUCAUUGGGUUUAAAGGGUCCGUAGGCGGUUUUUUAAGUCAGAGGUGAAAUCCUGCAGCUCAACUGUAGCAUUGCCUUUGAUACUGAAAGACUAGAGUUAUUGUGAAGUAGUUAGAAUGUGUAGUGUAGCGGUGAAAUGCAUAGAUAUUACACAGAAUACCGAUUGCGAAGGCAGAUUACUAACAAUAUACUGACGCUGAGGGACGAAAGCGUGGGUAGCGAACAGGAUUAGAUACCCUGGUAGUCCACGCCGUAAACGAUGGAUACUAGCUG